GCCUUAGUAGCUUAAUAUUAAAGCAUUGGUCUUGUAAGCCAAAGCAGGGAAGUAGCCCCUCCCCUAAGACA
rnacentral:tRNA from 1 species